GACGAACGCUUGCGGCGUGCUUAACACAUGCAAGUCGAACGGAAAGGCCCUGCUUUUGUGGGGUGCUCGAGUGGCGAACGGGAGAGUAACACGUGAGUAACCUGCCCUUGACUUUGGGAUAACUUCAGGUAACUGGGGCUAAUACCGGAUAGGAGCUCCUGCUGCAUGGUGGGGGUUGGAAAGUUUCGGCGGUUGGGGAUGGACUCGCGGCUUAUCAGCUUGUUGGUGGGGUAGUGGCUUACCAAGGCUUUGACGGGUAGCCGGCCUGAGAGGGUGACCGGCCACAUUGGGACUGAGAUACGGCCCAGACUCCUACGGGAGGCAGCAGUGGGGAAUAUUGCACAAUGGGCGGAAGCCUGAUGCAGCAACGCCGCGUGCGGGAUGACGGCCUUCGGGUUGUAAACCGCUUUCGCCUGUGACGAAGCGUGAGUGACGGUAAUGGGUGAAGAAGCACCGGCUAACUACGUGCCAGCAGCCGCGGUGAUACGUAGGGUGCGAGCGUUGUCCGGAUUUAUUGGGCGUAAAGGGCUCGUAGGUGGUUGAUCGCGUCGGAAGUGUAAUCUUGGGGCUUAACCCUGAGCGUGCUUUCGAUACGGGUUGACUUGAGGAAGGUAGGGGAGAAUGGAGUUCCUGGUGGAGCGGUGGAAUGCGCAGAUAUCAGGAGGAACACCAGUGGCGAAGGCGGUUCUCUGGGCCUUUCCUGACGCUGAGGAGCGAAAGCGUGGGGAGCGAACAGGCUUAGAUACCCUGGUAGUCCACGCUGUAAACGGUGGGUACUAGGUGUGGGGUCCAUUCCACGGGUUCCGUGCCGUAGCUAACGCUUUAAGUACCCCGCCUGGGGAGUACGGCCGCAAGGCUAAAACUCAAAGGAAUUGACGGGGCCCCGCACAAGCGGCGGAGCAUGCGGAUUAAUUCGAUGCAACGCGUAGAACCUUACCUGGGUUUGACAUGGAUCGGGAGUGCUCAGAGAUGGGUGUGCCUCUUUUGGGGUCGGUUCACAGGUGGUGCAUGGCUGUCGUCAGCUCGUGUCGUGAGAUGUUGGGUUAAGUCCCGCAACGAGCGCAACCCUUGUUCACUGUUGCCAGCACGUUAUGGUGGGGACUCAGUGGAGACCGCCGGGGUCAACUCGGAGGAAGGUGGGGAUGACGUCAAGUCAUCAUGCCCCUUAUGUCCAGGGCUUCACGCAUGCUACAAUGGCUGGUACAGAGAGUGGCGAGCCUGUGAGGGUGAGCGAAUCUCGGAAAGCCGGUCUCAGUUCGGAUUGGGGUCUGCAACUCGACCUCAUGAAGUCGGAGUCGCUAGUAAUCGCAGAUCAGCAACGCUGCGGUGAAUACGUUCCCGGGGCU
rnacentral:rRNA from 1 species